rnacentral:lncRNA from 1 species
GUAUGGCGCUCAUAUUUGUGACAUUGUUUUGUUCGCUUUGGCAACCCUCGUAUAUAUCAGAUGCUGUUCGGCCUCAAAGUCAAAUGCGACUGAAUGAACACUGAUGGUGUUGCCUGGAAUAUGAAAUGAUAUUGACUGAUUGUUCUGUAUAUCAAGGUAGGUACUGUACAUUUAUACUGAAUUUAUUUUCACACGAGUUUCAAACUAUUUCAGCCUUAUAAUGAACAGUGAGAUCACAUCACUAACAUACAGCCAUACAGAAAGACAGAAAGAAUUUUCUCAUCAAUUCUGAUUAUCGUUACAAGUAACAGUAUAAAUGCUUCAAAAUUUAUUUGUUUUCUACAGUAUGUAAUGCAGGGCAGCAUGCUUUCAUUUUGCUUUGGUGGUAGUCACCACUCACCAAGUCAAAUGGGCCAUUCCAUCUAUAAAUAGCCCCACUAUUGAGGUCUGGAUAUCCUAUAUGGGGAUUUUAGAGAGGGGGAUUUUACCUUAAAUUUUUCUGGAGGGUAGCUUAAGAGAUUUCCAAAAAAAUUAGGUGUUUUAGUGAUAUCCAAAGGGGCAGGAACAAUAUCCUAAAGGGGUAGAAAGAUAUCCAUGGGGGUUCCAAAAUUGCAUCCAAUGGGGUUCCAAAAUGUUUAAGGUAAUAGUAUUAUGAAGAGACCCCUCAAUAGGGUGUGGGGGCUAUAUUAAAUGGAAUUGCCCAGUGUGCUGCAACAACUUUUAAAAUUUGUAUAUAUGUUUUUAAGGCACAAUAUGUGAUGGAGUUUGAUAUGAUGAUCAGCACAACAUGGAUGUCUUGACUGAAUGAACAACUUAUGUGAUAUACUCCUAGUUCCAAUACUUUGCUGUAUAUUAUCACCAGCUCAGAUGUCAGUUGGAUCACUUUGAAUGAACAUUGGAGUGGCACAAUAAAGUGUCUGUAUUAGGGUGGAGUCUAUAAUUAAGGACUGAAGUAAAAGGCACACUUUUGGAUAUUAAUUUGAAUCAUAGCAACUACAUAUAGGUUUCAAAUAAGUUUGAACAAUGAACAACUGAAAAUAAAAAUUUAUUUGAUUUGAAACACUCAAAGGAAUUACAACAUAUUAUAUGAUAGUCAUAUGUACAUGAUUAUGGGUAUAUUCAUUAGUUUUAUUAGCUGAUAUUUAUGACCAUCCUGGGACAACAUUUUAUUUUUCCCAAGAGAUUUUACUUGCAUGGUAGUAAUAUAGUAACAGAGAAGUGUGAUGGAUAUGUGCAAGUAAUUAUCAUUGGAAAUACAAAUAUUAAACUGUAAUUUUCACCAUUGUAAAUGAUUGUAUUAUUAAAGAAACAAAAUACAAAAGUCAAACAAGGCUAUUUAAAAUAAUACAGUCAUAAUACUAGACUGGUUAAAGAACUACUGAAUAGAGGCAUCAUGAAAAUAUUCUAAGAUUACUACCAUGGCUCUGUACCAGGGAAAGGUAUAGUGAGUUUCUUCACCUUGAUGAACAUUAGAAAACUAUAAUGCCAUCAACUCAUUCCCAUUUAAAAAUUUUCAUGUUGGUCAAUGUGAAAUAUAAUCUUGAGGCCAACGUGUGAAAAUAAAUCGAAUAAAUUCAGUAUAAAUGUACAGUACCUACCUUGAUAUACAGAACAAUCAGUCAAUAUCAUUUCAUAUUCCAGGCAACACCAUCAGUGUUCAUUCAGUCGCAUUUGAGGCCGAACAGCAACUUUGAGGGUUGCCAAAGCGAACAAAACAAUGUCACAAAUAUGAGCGCCAUACUCCGACAAAUUGAUACAAUAUGAUGCCGAAUGUUGCACAGUUUUGUGUACAUGUGUGUUCACAGCUUAUAUCUGAAGUAUUUUUCUUAAAAUUUGUUAAAACUUUGAGAAUAAAUACAUAAAGAACCAACAAAACAUGUGUAUUUUUAAGCAAGAAAAUCGUAAGCGCCAGCGCUAAUUGUAGUCAGCAACAUAACGUUGUCGUUACUGCGCAUGCGAUAAAUCUCCAAGAAUCUUGGAGAUUUCAUCGUAUUUUACCAGGGUCUUCCUCAGCUCACGCGCCACCACGAGGAAGACCCUGGGGACGAGGUUGCUGAGUUCCUUAGGGGUAAAUUUUGCAAUCAAAGUUGCCUAAUAUUGAAAUUGGCCCAUAGCAACCACCUUAGCAACCAAAUGCUGUGGUUAAAUCGAUGUUAUUGGCUCGUUAUUGCUGA